UUCAACUUUUCAGAUUAGGUCACAUGGCCAAAUCCUGGCUGUCAUCUGUAGGUGGAAAAGGGAAGAAUAUGUCUUACUUUUCCCAAAAGAACUAACAGCUUGAGGAAGUUUGGUGUGAGAGGUGAGCCCCAGCAAUUUCCAUUCAGUUUGUGCUUCUGAUUUUCUGCUUUCAUACCUGAGACCUGAAGAAGAUGGAAACCCAGAAUGAGCACUGACUGAACAAGAAAAAAGAAAGCUUGCUCUCUAGUCAAAGUACAAGGAAAGGAGAAGCACAGCAAGAAAGAAAACUUUUUGAAAAUAACCUCUCUAUUCCAGCCAAACAAAACGGAAAAUAAGUUGUUGCCCUACUCUCACCCAUCCUAUUUAAGAACUACUAGACCUAGAUAUCCCCCCACAAAAGAAUCUAACAAGUUGCCUCCAAAAUCUCAUUGUGGUGGUAUCAGAGAGGACUAAAUAGGGAGAAUGUGGUCUUCUACCCCACCAAGCAAUAAGGAAGUUCAGCUUUUCCUCUCAGCUUAAAUGGUGUCUUAGGAGGUCUAAUGCAAAGUCAGAACUUUUGCCAUCACUCAGCUGUACAGAACCUGCACCCACUACGUUGUCAUAGAGAUCACCUGAGAAACCAAUUGCCAACACUAGCCCUGCAGUAAAAAGGAAGGAGCUGCCCAUUCCCAUCACUCAAAUGUCAAUAGAGGUCAAGUGAGGAAUCCUGAACUUCUACCUCCAAAUAGCAGUAAUAAGGUGGUGCCCUCUAUCCCCUACCAGAGCAGAGAAAUAUUGUUAAAACAGAAGUUUUAAGUAAAAUCCAGAGUUUCAUAGCACAAUACGAAAAUGUCUGAGUUUUAAUAGACAAUCACUUAUCAUGCCAAGAACCAGGAAGAUGUCAAACUGAAUUAAAAAAAACACUCAGUUGUGGCAGUGGGCUGAGAUCGUGCUGGUGCACUCCAGCCUGGACAACAGAGUGAGACACCAUCUCAAAAAACAAACAAACAAACAAACAAAAAAAACCACUCGAUGGCAAGUUGACAGCAAUAUAAUGAAAAUAAUUGUGUAACAUCACUGAUAUUUUUUGGCUGUGUCCCCACCCAAAUCUCAUCUUGAAUUGUAACUCCCUCAAUUUCCAUGUGUUGUGGGAGGAACCCAGUGGGAGGUAAUUGAAUCAUGGGGACGGGUCUUUCCUGUGCUGUUCUCAUGAUAGUGAAUAAGUCUCAUAAGAUGUGACAGUUUUAAAAAUGGGAGUUUCCCUGCACAGGUUCUCCCUCUUGCCACUGCCAUGUAAGAAGUGGCUUUUGCCUUCCUCCAUGAUGGUGAGACCUCCCCAGCCACAUGGAACUGAAAGUCCAUUAAACUUCUUUCAUUUUUAAACUGCCCAGUC
rnacentral:lncRNA from 1 species